rnacentral:rRNA from 1 species
GCAGUCGAACGGUAACGCGGGGGCAACCCUGGCGACGAGUGGCGAACGGGUGAGUAAUACAUCGGAACAUAUCCAGUAGCGGGGGAUAACCUAUCGAAAGAUUGGCUAAUACCGCAUACGAUCUACGGAUGAAAGCGGGGGACCGCAAGGCCUCGCACUAUUGGAGUGGCCGAUGUCAGAUUAGCUAGUUGGUGGGGUAAAAGCCUACCAAGGCGACGAUCUGUAGCUGGUCUGAGAGGACGAUCAGCCACACUGGAACUGAGACACGGUCCAGACUCCUACGGGAGGCAGCAGUGGGGAAUUUUGGACAAUGGGCGCAAGCCUGAUCCAGCCAUGCCGCGUGAGUGAAGAAGGCCUUCGGGUUGUAAAGCUCUUUCGGUGAAGACGAAACGGUUAGCGUUAAUAACGCUGACUAAUGACGGUACUCACAGAAGAAGCACCGGCUAACUACGUGCCAGCAGCCGCGGUAAUACGUAGGGUGCAGGCGUUAAUCGGAAUUAUUGGGCGUAAAGAGCUCGUAGGCGGUUGAGUAAGUCGGGUGUGAAAACUCUGGGCUUAACCCGGAGACGCCAUCCGAUACUGCUCUGACUAGAGUUCAGGAGGGG